rnacentral:tRNA from 1 species
GCCUGUAUAGCUCAGUGGCAGAGCAUCUGCCUUGUAAGCAGAGGGUCGGGGGUUCAAAUCCCUCUACAGGCU